ACGGACAAAAGAUAUUUCGUUCAGUGUAACGGAGGCGGCCGAGCUGGUUGUAUGCCGAAUAAAAUUCUUCUGGAGGCAUGGCCGGCCGACAUUUUUCUAGUUAACUAACUCCAUCGACUAGAAAGUUAAUGUUUUACUAAAGUGGGAGGAGGUGAAAGUUAAGUAAGCAAAGGAUCUUGUGUAGUGGGAGGAGGUGGUGACCUGAUGUGACGUGAAUUUAAGGAAGUUUGAAGAAAGUGUAAGUGCUGACGUUUUUUAUGGGAGAAAAUUAUGACGCAUAUCACACUUACAACGAUUUGGAACCGAAGAUGGGAAACGACUAAAGUUGGUGGAGGCGAGCGAUGACGUGAUUUUUAAUCGGCUUUACACUGCUGCACUUUGAGUUUUAUGCUGAGGAUGGUAAUCCGCACCGGAAAACUUUCGGAUUUGGUCAAAUUAGUCUUCCCAUUUGCUAUUAAUUGAUUUACCUCUCAUCCUGCGACGACGACGUGUCAACACUCCGGCGGCGUCAAAGUUUCCUUCAUCUGUGUCAUCGUGACCUUUUCUUCUUGGUUGGAGCCGAUUCUUUCUCGCAACGGAACUGAAUUAUUUCACAUCCUUCGACAUGAUAUGGACGACGUCAAAUUUCUACUUUCCACUUUUCUCUGCAUCAUCUCGUAACAGCAAGAAAUCAAAGGCAAAUUUUUAUUUAGUUUGUAUUGUAGAGCAAAUAAGUUUAAAGAUGUAGACUUGAACAAGGUACCAUUCGGUACCAAGUACUAAUCAAGGUACCAGCCAGUUAGUUAAUUAGAUCAAUUUGGGAAAAUUGACUUUAGUAUUCUUGAGUUUUUUUAAAUCCUGAAUCUCGGUAUGUGUAAAAGUGACCCAGAUUUAUUACUAACUACAUUUUACAAGUCAAAUAUGUUAGGAUAAUCAGAUUUUGAUUCGGUGAAACUCGUUAUAUAGCUCGAUAGGCACCAGGAAAAUUAAUAAAAGAUGGUUACCCUCACUAUGGGAUAAUCUAGCUACUUUUGGACGUCAUUUCUAAUUAAUUAAUACAACAAUAAAAGGGAAUAUUCGACACCAAUUAGAAGAGGAGGAGGGCUAAUCACUUGACCUGCAAGGUAUUUAGGUCAAGUUUUUAGGAAAGUAAUUAGGGAAACAAUAAAAGGGAAUAUUCGACACCAAUUAAACCGCGACUUGUCCUAAAAGGUAUUUAGGCCAUAAUUUAUAGAACGUAAUUAAUUACACAAUAAAAGGGAAUAUUCGACACCAAUUAUAAUAGGAAAGUAAUUAACGAAGCAAUAAAAGGGAAUAUUCGACACCAAUUAAUUCGCGACAUGACCUACAAGGUAUUUAGGUCAUAAUUUAGGGAAGGUAAUUAAUUACACAAUAAAAGGGAAUAUUCGACACCAAUUAAACCGCGACAUGACCUUACAGGUAUUUAGGUCAUUACUUGAAGAACGUAAUUAAUUACACAAUAAAAGGGAAUAUUCGACACCAAUUAAACCGCGACAUGACCUUACAGGUAUUUAGGUCAUUACUUGAAGAACGUAAUUAAUUACACAAUAAAAGGGAAUAUUCGACACCAAUUAAACCGCGACAUGACCUUACAGGUAUUUAGGUCAUUACUUGAAGAACGUAAUUAAUUACACAAUAAAAGGGAAUAUUCGACACCAAUUAUACUAGAAAAGUAAUUAACGCAGCAAUAAAAGGGAAUAUUCGACACCAAUUAAAUCGCGACAUGACCUUACAUGUAUUUAGGUCAUUAUUUAGACAAGGUAAUUAAUUACACAAUAAAAGGGAAUAUUCGACACCAAUUAACUUAAUCAGUUAAACUUGUUACAAGUUUGUAUUUUAAUAUUGGAUAAAUUUUGUUACUGAUUUUAAAUAACAAUUGUUUGCACUACAGAUUGAAUUUAGCCCUACCUGUACCGAUACUUGUUUUUGAAAUUAAUAAAAUAAUCAGCAUAUAAAUGAUA